rnacentral:rRNA from 1 species
GACGAACGCUGGCGGCGUGCUUAAAAACAUGCAAGUCGAACGGACUUCUCAUGAAGCUUGCGAUUGAGAAGUUAGUGGCGGACGGGUGAGUAACGCGUGGGCAACCUGCCCCUGAGCCCGGGAUAACAGUUCGAAAGGACUGCUAAGACCGGAUAUACUUGCGGUGAAGCAUUUCACUGCAAGGAAAGGGAACGCUCAGGGAUGGGCCCGCGUCCCAUUAGCUAGUUGGUGAGGUAACGGCCCACCAAGGCGACGAUGGGUAGCCGGCCUGAGAGGGUGAACGGCCACACUGGGACUGAGACACGGCCCAGACUCCUACGGGAGGCAGCAGUGGGGAAUAUUGCACAAUGGGGGAAACCCUGAUGCAGCAACGCCGCGUGAGUGAUGACGGCCUUCGGUUGUAAGCUCUGUCUUCAGGGACGAUAAUGACGGUACCGUGAGGAGGAAGCCGACGGCUAACUACGUGCCAGCAGCCGCGGUAAAGUGUGUGUA